rnacentral:rRNA from 1 species
AGAUUGAACGCUGGCGGCAGGCCUAACACAUGCAAGUCGAGCGGUAGAGAGGUGCUUGCAUCUCUUGAGAGCGGCGGACGGGUGAGUAAUGCCUAGGAAUCUGCCUAGUGGUGGGGGAUAACGUUCGGAAACGGACGCUAAUACCGCAUACGUCCUACGGGAGAAAGCGGGGGACCUUCGGGCCUCGCGCCAUUAGAUGAGCCUAGGUCGGAUUAGCUAGUUGGUGAGGUAAUGGCUCACCAAGGCGACGAUCCGUAACUGGUCUGAGAGGAUGAUCAGUCACACUGGAACUGAGACACGGUCCAGACUCCUACGGGAGGCAGCAGUGGGGAAUUUUGGACAAUGGGACGAAAG